CGUUUCUUCGUUUCUCGCUCGUUCUCGCGUGCAUGUCCUUCCUCGCUUCUAGUACCACUUCCGUAGGUGAUCACGGUUGCAUUUAGCACAUGCAACAAGCCCUUUAAACCCCUAGAUAGCUCUAGUGGACGAGUGUGCUCUCGUGAGGGUUUGUAGAAGAUAUACCCACAAAAUCCCAAGUCGCGGUGAAUCCACAAUUCUCUAUUCUUGCAAAUAAUGCACCAAAACCAACCUAAAAUGAUAGAAAAUCACUUCAUCACCUCAACUCGUGACCUGCACAGAAAAACAAUAAAAACACAUCAAAAGACACUAAACACUUAAGUACAACCAACCAAUUUAAGUGGAAAUGAAGGCCUAUAAGUGUGUAUAAAUACCACUUAUCACACCCCCAAACUUAAACUGAUGCUUGUCCUCAAGCGUCAACGACACUAUACAAUAAUACAAUGCAAUGCAUGAAUGCAACUACGUGAUGAAUGAGUGAACUAUGAAGUAAUUGCCUUGCCAAUUAUAAUACCUCAGAUUGUGCUAAUGUUCUCGAAUUUCAUCUAUCGUGAUUACACAGGGUGAUAAAAAUAGUUCAAGUCUACCACAAAUUAUGUUUCAUUCACAUAAUCCUAUGUUUACAUGGCAUAGUUCUAAAUUCAAUCAUCCACUCUCGCUUCAGAAAGAAUUAACAAACAACUUAGAAGUUAGCUACGCUCCUAAGAAGAAUAAGCACGGCUCAUGCAAAGAAAUCAACGUACGUCACAAAAUCAAGUAAUUAAUAUUCGUUACUAGACUACAUCGAUAAAUCCAUUAGAAUCCCAUGAAGGCGGUUAGUUCAUAAUCGAACUAAUCGACAUCAUGGGUUCUAGUGAAAACAUUAUAAAUAAAAGACAAGAAUUAAACGGAAUAAAAAUGCUUGAAUUAAUAAUAAAGAUCACACGUUACAGAAUUGAUGUUCACGAUCUCGCUCGAAACUGUCACUUCCUCGCGAAGAACGAUCUAAUACAACUGAUAAUGUGCUUGAAUGAAUAAUCUGAAACUACGAUAUUGUUCUAUAUUAAACUACUUCUAUGAGGCUAGGGUUUUACACACGAGAAAUUAAAAUACAUUGACUAAGUCAACCGGGCCUCGACCGCUGCGAAAAUCCAUCAGAAAAGCUUCAAAAAUCGGCCCGGGGAAGUUCUGCUGGGCGCCACCGCGCUAAACUAGCGCAGGCGCGCUAGUUGACCCGAGGAUAGCGCGGGCGCGCUAUAGGUUAGCGCGGGCGCGCUACUGACUGUGAUGGCAGCCCUGUUUCUUCGUGUUCAGCUCGUUCUCGCGUGCAUGUCCUUCCUCGCUCCUAGUACCACUUCCGUAGGUGAUCACGGUUGCAUUUAGCAUAUGCAACAAGCCCUUUAAACCCCUAGAUAGCUCUAGUGGACGAGUGUGUUCUCGUGAGGGUUUGUAGAAGAUGUACCCACAAAAUCCCAAGUCGUGAUGAAUCCACAAUUCUCUAUUCUUGCAAAUAAUGCACCAAAA
rnacentral:lncRNA from 1 species